rnacentral:rRNA from 1 species
UACGUAGGGUGCAAGCGUUGUCCGGAAUUAUUGGGCGUAAGGAGCUCGUAGGCGGUUUGUUGCGUCGGCUGUGAAAUCCCGAGGCUCAACCUCGGGUCUGCAGUCGAUACGAGCAAACUAGAGUGUUGCAGGGGAGACUGGAAUUCCUGGUGUAGCGGUGAAAUGCGCAGAUAUCAGGAGGAACACCGGCGGCGAAGGCGGGUCUCUGGGCCAUAACUGACGCUGAGGUGCGAAAGCGUGGGGAGCAAACAGG